GUCAAGGACCGUCUAUAUAUACAAAGGCUGGGCUCUAGUUCAGUCUUUCGUCCGGGCAAUCCAAACUUAAAGGGGGAAGAAGACAAUCGUGAGGACUUCCAAAAUAUAAAAACUUAACUAAAGGCUAUAAAAUGCACCGCCACUCCGAGUCUGCUCAGCCCAUGACUGAGUGUCUCAGAAGGUUUUGCUGCACCACUUGCAGCCACACAAAGAUGAAGAAUGAUGGCGGCAGAGGUUGACUGGGGCUCCUCAGAGCGCUGAGAUGAACAGCUUUUUCUCUUGAUCCAGACCUGGGUUCUUCUUUGGUCAGGUGUUAAGUCUGUGGCCAUGCGCUUAUGGUGUUUGUGGUGGUGACUAGAUGGGAUCUCCUUUAGCUAAUCAAACACUGAAAGGAGAUGAAGUCCCAGUUGUGCAGCUGUAUAACUGAGGCAACUCCAACUAGACUACAACCCCGGCACAAACACUGGACCAGGUGUUUAACUGCUACCAAGUGUCAGAGCUGUUCAACAUCAGGUCAUCUGGGAAAUGGAGCAGUCUUGACUGCUGAAAGAUGCACUCCAUUACAGCAUGUAAAUGAGUCAGAAACAAGCCUGUCAGUGGGAAGUGUCCUGUAUUAUGUACAUAUGGCUUACACUCAGGUGCUAUAAUUGUAAUAACUGUUGACAGGCAGAUGACUUAAAAUAAAAUUAUUGACAAGA